CCUACGGGUGGCAGCAGUAAGGAAUCUUCCACAAUGGGCGCGAGCCUGAACCAGCCAAGUAGCGUGAAUGAUGAAUGUCCUACGGUCUGUAAACUUCGUUUAUAAAGGAGUAAGAUCAGGCAAGUGAGCGUUUUCGUUUGUAUUUUAUGAAACAAGAUCGGCUAACUCCGUGCCGGCAGCCGCGGUAAUACAGAGGUUCAGAGCGUUAUCCGGAUUUAUUGGGUGUAAAGGGAACGUAGGUGGGUUGUUAAGUCGGUUGUGAAAGUUUGCGGCUCAACCGUAGAAGUGCAAUGGAUACUGGCAGCCUUGAGUGCAGUUGAGGUGGGCGGAAGUCGAGGUGUAGCGGUGAAAUGCUUAGAUAUCACGAAGAACUCCGAUUGCGAAGGCAGCCUACUGGUCUGCCACUGACAUUGAGGCUCGAAAGUGUGGGUAUCAAACAGGAUUAGAUACCCGUGUAGUC
rnacentral:rRNA from 1 species